rnacentral:rRNA from 1 species
CACUCCUGCGGGAGGCAGCAGUGGGGAAUAUUGGACAAUGGGCGCAAGCCUGAUCCAGCCAUGCCGCGUGAGUGAUGAAGGCCCUAGGGUUGUAAAGCUCUUUCACCGGUGAAGAUAAUGACGGUAACCGGAGAAGAAGCCCCGGCUAACUUCGUGCCAGCAGCCGCGGUAAUACGAAGGGGGCUAGCGUUGUUCGGAUUUACUGGGCGUAAAGCGCACGUAGGCGGACUAUUAAGUCAGGGGUGAAAUCCCGGGGCUCAACCCCGGAACUGCCUUUGAUACUGGUAGUCUUGAGUUCGAGAGAGGUGAGUGGAAUUCCGAGUGUAGAGGUGAAAUUCGUAGAUAUUCGGAGGAACACCAGUGGCGAAGGCGGCUCACUGGCUCGAUACUGACGCUGAGGUGCGAAAGCGUGGGGAGCAAAUAGGAUUAGAAACCCGAGUAGUCCCAUGAU